rnacentral:rRNA from 1 species
ACAGCCAACAGUACCAGCUUGAAUGGGCCUGAUCUCAUCUGCUCUCGGAAACAAAGCAAGGUCCAGUCUGGUUAGUACUUGGAUGGGAGUGUAGUGAUAAGCAAAACAGCCAGCCACUGGCUCUU